AUAUAGUUGUUGAUCGGAUCAAAGAGAGAGGGAGAGAGAGUAAGCUCGAGAGAGAGAGAGCCCGAGAGCUCGGUGCUCUCAGACCCGAAGCACGACCCGACCGGCGCCACUCCUUCCGGCCACGGCACAGCGGCGGACCACCAGCAUCGUCUUCGUAUCGCUGUCGCCACAAACCUCCUAUGCUUGGAUCGUACAUGCACUGAACGGAGAAGGAGACUCGACGACUGAAAGCUCCGAGACUUCUCCGAAGAGCUCUGCAAUUUCCGGCCACCGUUUGGGCCACCUGAGAUUUGCAGGUCUAGGCGAGGUUUUGGUUGUUUGACGUCGUUUCAAACCUGGAAGACUCAGAUCUACAAAAGCCCCCAACUUCCCAGGUUCGAUAUCGCCGGAUACGCGACAUGCGUCACCGUCCCCUUUACUUUGAAGGCCUUAAGGUGGCUUGAUCAAGAACUUGAGAAUUAUUGCAAAAUCUGGAACUUCAUGUCUCUUUUGCUGUUAUAUUGAAGUUUACAUUUGUUAUCUAUUUCGAAUGCAGUUGUUGGAAAGUUUGCAGGGGUUGAUGUUAAACAAGGAAGGGUAUGCUUCUAUAGGAGGUGGUUCACCCUUGCGUAAGACGACAGAUGAGCAGGUGUUUCUUUGAAGACUCAAGAACUCUAUGCCCUUGUUUUUGUUACUCGCUACUUGGACAUUUUCACCGAUUUCAUAUAUUUAUAUAACACCGUCAUGAAGCUAAUAUUCUAGGGGAGUUAUUUUUCAAUUGUUUGGUACAUUAGGCAGCACAGGAUUGUUCGCAGGUCCUAUGAUAGAGACCAAGACACCUUCCGCCAUCAUUUCCUACUGGCACCAUGUCUAGUUUUGGCCCUAAUAUUCAGUGAGAAGUUCACUUUC